UACGUAGGGGGCAAGCGUUGUCCGGAAUCAUUGGGUGUAAAGAGCGUGUAGGCGGCUCGAUAAGUCUGCUGUGAAAGUCCAGGGCUCAACCCUGGAAGGCCGGUGGAAACUGUCGGGCUAGAGUCCGGAAGAGGCGAGUGGAAUUCCCGGUGUAGCGGUGAAAUGCGCAGAUAUCGGGAGGAACACCAAUGGCGAAGGCAGCUUACUAGACUGUAACUGACGCUGAGGCACGAAAGCGUGGGGAGCGAACAGG
rnacentral:rRNA from 1 species